UUUAGGAGCGGCCGAUGUCGGAUUAGCUAGUUGGUGAGGUAAAGGCUCACCAAGGCGACGAUCCGUAGCGGGUCUGAGAGGAUGAUCCGCCACACUGGGACUGAGACACGGCCCAGACUCCUACGGGAGGCAGCAGUGGGGAAUUUUGGACAAUGGGCGCAAGCCUGAUCCAGCCAUGCCGCGUGAGUGAAGAAGGCCUUCGGGUUGUAAAGCUCUUUCGGUGGGGAAGAAAUUGC
rnacentral:rRNA from 1 species